UACAGAGGGUGCAAGCGUUAAUCGGAAUUACUGGGCGUAAAGCGUGCGUAGACGGUUACAUAAGUCGGGUGUGAAAGCCCCGGGCUCAACCUGGGAAUUGCAUUCGAGACUGCGUAGCUAGGGUGCGGAAGAGGGAAGCGGAAUUUCCGGUGUAGCGGUGAAAUGCGUAGAUAUCUGGAGGAACACCGGUGGCGAAGGCGGCAUCCUGGACCGAUACUGACGCUGAGGAGCGAAAGCCAGGGAGCAAACGGG
rnacentral:rRNA from 1 species